UAAACCAAAGAAUUUAGAAGAAUUAAAAGCGGUAAUUCAAGAAGAAUGGGACAAGAUUACCCCUCAACAGCGUGAAAGACUUGUGGGGAACAUGCCAGCCAGGAUUAGAGCUCUACUGUGUGCUAAUGCCAGGACUACUAAAUAUUAAUGUUGUUGGCUUGCGUGUAUUGUCAUUGGCUACAUCGUGUGUCGUCAUCGGCCAUGAUGACCUUCCGGGUGGAGCGCAGAAAGGCGGAGAAAGGAAGUCGGAAAACAGAUAUAAAUCAACGUCUGGGCCGUUGGUUCGGUUUGUCGGUACUGUGAAAAACCUUACUCACUGAAGAAGCCUGGCUGCUAAAACAAGCUUUGAAGCUGCUUUUUGUCGAACACGAGUGAUGCUGGACGCUGAAUACACCUGCGGCACAAAGGUGUCACCACGUUGUCCGCAACAUUGUCCAUGAUCUCAGAGACACGGUCCAUGAUCGGAGAGACAUUGUUGAGGAUGAGGGAGACAUCGUCCACGAUCAAAGACAUUGUCCACAAUCGCAGAGACCUUGUCAAAGAUGAGAGAGACGUUGUCCAUGAUCAGAGACAUUGCCCAUGCUUCGUAGAGACCUUGCGAUAGAAUCGGCGGAGACGGGGGUCACCGAUUUGAAGGCAUUGCCCGCGAUCAUGGAGACAUUGUCGAUGAUCACUGAGACAGCGUCUAUGAUCUCAGAGACAUCGUCCACGAUCACAAAGACAUAGUCCAUGAUCGCAGAGACAUUGUCCAUAAUCUCAGAGACACUGUCCGCGAUCACAGAGACGUAGUCCACGAUCACAGAGACUCUUCGUACAAUGAAGAAGUUCUUUGAGACCAGGACAGAGGCCUCCAGCUCCUUUCACAAAAACAACAGGAUCCACCAAUAGCGAAGAAAGAGAAGACGACAGCAGCUGAAGACCUGAAGUGGAUGAAAGAAAACAAGUGUUACGAAACUGUUUAUUGGAUAAAAGAUAAAAGACCUCUACCAUCCACUGUAAACGGUGUUGGUUUCCUGUUCUUCAAAUAAAAACAUGUGUUUCUCUACCAUCUGUAAUCUAGUCAUGGGCACAUUUUCCAAAGACUCAUGUCUUUAUCAAAACUUGUGAGAACAUUGAACUGCUUAGGAUAAAACUAUUUAAUUAAUUGAUCACAAAGAUGCUUAGUAGACAUGUUUGUCUUUGGAAAAUGUGCUCAUAACUACAUUGAUCCUAACCAGCUCUAACAAGUGUUUCCUUGUGGUCAAAUGUCUGUCAUUAUCUUUGCUGUGAUUUGUUAAAUGUUGUCUGGAAUAAAAUCAUUAAAAGUGUCUUCCUAAACCUUUGAGUUGUAUUUCUCUAUUUUGAAACUGAUGUUAUGCAAAGCAUUUUAUUGCAUUAAAUGUUAUGA